CAGAGCACAGACUUUUACAUAACGCAUAAGGCAUAAUGCAUAGAGCAUAACGUAACGUUCAUCAACGCACAAACUUGUGCAUUGGCUCUUAACAUUCUAACCUUAAAGUUUUUUGGACAUCGAAUGCUAUCGCAAAUAUACAUUGAUAAACGGUUAGUCAGAACAAAAGUUUAUAGCAACUACAAUUAAUACCAAAAAAUAAAAUUUUACUGUGUCACAUGUUUAUUAUAAUUAUAAUUUUACAUAAUUGGACAUAAAGCAUCAUACAUGUGAACAUGGAU